rnacentral:snRNA from 1 species
GUAUAUACCUGGCAGGGGUUCUGGGAUUACCAAGGUGGCCUUCCCAGGGGCGGGCGAGGCCCAUCCUUUGCUCUCUGGAUGAGCCGACCUCUGUGGUUUGCCCAAAUAGGAGAAACCUGACAAGAAAGAAAAAGCAAAGUCUUCUAAACUUUUC